UGGGUAACCUGUUUCAUCGUCCUCGGGCUACCGUCAUGGUGAUGGUGAAGGGAGUGAACAAACUGGCUCUACCCCCAGGCAGUGUCAUUUCGUACCCUUUGGAGAAUGUUGACCUGCUCUUUCUUUCUGAACUGCAAGUGCUACAUGAUAUUUCAAGCUUGCUGUCUCGUCAUAAGCAUCUAGCCAAGGAUCAUUCUCCUGAUUUAUAUUCACUGGAGCUGGCAGGUUUGGAUGAAAUUGGGAAGCGUUAUGGGGAAGACUCUGAACAAUUCAGAGAUGCUUCUAAGAUCCUUGUUGACGCUCUGCAAAAGGUAAAUAUCAAUGCGACAUGAGAGGUUGGAGUAUGACCAUUUCACUUUUAGCCUCUUAAUAGAAAAAUCUGCUGUUUCAAACACUGUUGAUUGAACUCUUAUUUGCCUUCUUUGGGGCUCCUCUAAUUAUACUGGCCAAGGAUGGAGUAGGGUCAAAAAUGUAUAUUGAUAUAUUUCUUCCUAAUGCUAGAAAGAACAGCAUUAGGAAAAGUUAUCUCACACAAAGCUUUACAAAAUUAUUGUGGUAAAAUAUAUAUAACAUAAAAUUACCACUUUAACCAUUUUUAAUUGUACAGUUCAGUGGUAUUAAGUGCAAGUACGUUCACAUGUUGUACAACCAUCACCAUCUUCUAUUUCUAGAACUUUUUCAUCUUCCCCAACUGAAACUCUGUACCCCUUAAACACUAUGAGAUAACUGAAGUAGAACACCCAGCACAGUACCAGACAGUAGAUGCAUAAUAAAUGCUAGUUCCCCUCUGCCCUUGAAGUUCUUCACCUGCAUCCUUUCAGUGAGGCUUCAUAUUUUAAUCUUUAUAGAUGUUUGUGAUUAACCAGAGACCACUUAGGAAGAUUUCUUCAUUUCUCUUUCCAACUUCCCUUCCUCCAAUUUAUAUGCUGACAAAUUCAGUCUCUUCUUAAAGUAAUUUUAUUCUGAACAUUUGAAUAUAUGUUAAAGCUUAACACUUUUCUGUAUAGUUGAGCAAAAUCAAAACCUUUAAGACUUGCUUAUUGUAAGAUGUAGUAUAUUUCAUGAGCCAGGAGGUAAGUGUACAUUGUUCUUGUAGCUGCACAAAAGCUUUAAAAAUAAUUUUAAUAAGUAUGUGACUCACUGCAUAAAAUGAUAAGUAGUGAGGUAAUGCAUAUGUUAAUUAGCCAAUGUGGACUUAAGCCAUUCCACAAUGUGUACAUAUUUCAAAACAAUAUGUUGAUGUGAUAAAUAUAUAUGAUUUUAAUUUGUUAAUUAAAAAUGAAAAAAGUACAUAGUUGAGAUUCCCAAUAAUGUUAAUAACUAACUUUCAGUUUGCAGAUGACAUGUACAGUCUUUAUGGUGGGAAUGCAGUGGUAGAGUUAGUCACUGUCAAGUCAUUUGACACCUCCCUCAUUAGGAAGACAAGGACUAUCCUUGAGGCAAAACAAGCGAAGAACCCAGCAAGUCCCUAUAACCUUGCAUAUAAGUAUAAUUUUGAAUAUUCCGUGGUUUUCAACAUGGUACUUUGGAUAAUGAUCGCCUUGGCCUUGGCUGUGAUUAUCACCUCUUACAAUAUUUGGAACAUGGAUCCUGGAUAUGAUAGCAUCAUUUAUAGGAUGACAAACCAGAAGAUUCGAAUGGAUUGAAUGUUACCUGUGCCAGAAUUAGAAAAGGGGGUUGGAAAUUGGCUGUUUUGUUAAAAUAUAUCUUUUAGUGUGCUUUAAAGUAGAUAGUAUACUUUACAUUUAUAAAAAAAAAUCAAAUUUUGUUCUUUAUUUUGUGUGUGCCUGUGAUGUUUUUCUAGAGUGAAUUAUAGUAUUGACGUGAAUCCCACUGUGGUAUAGAUUCCAUAAUAUGCUUGAAUAUUAUGAUAUAGCCAUUUAAUAACAUGAUUUCAUUCUGUUUAAUGAAUUUGGAAAUAUGCACUGAAAGAAAUGUAAAACAUUUAGAAUAGCUCGUGUUAUUAUGGAAAAAAGUGCACUGAAUUUAUUAGACAAACUUACGAAUGCUUAACUUCUUUACACAGCAUAGGUGAAAAUCAUAUUUGGGCUAUUGUAUACUAUGAACAAUUUGUAAAUGUCUUAAUUUGAUGUAAAUAAUUCUGAAACAAGAGAAAGGUUUUUAACUUAGAGUAGCCCUAAAAUAUGGAUGUGCUUAUAUAAUCGCUUAGUUUUGGAACUGUAUCUGAGUAACAGAGGACAGCUGUUUUUUAACCCUCUUCUGCAAGUUUGUUGACCUACAUGGGCUAAUAUGGAUACUAAAAAAAACUACAUUGAUCUAAGAAGAAACUAGCCUUGUGGAGUAUAUAGAUGCUUUUCAUUAUACACACAAAAAUCCCCGAGGGACAUUUUGAGGCAUGAAUAUAAAACAUUUUUAUUUCAGUAACUUUUCCCCCUGUGUAAGUUACUAUGGUUUGUGGUACAACUUCAUUCUAUAGAAUAUUAAGUGGAAGUGGGUGAAUUCUACUUUUUAUGUUGGAGU
rnacentral:sRNA from 1 species